rnacentral:rRNA from 2 species
AUACCGGCAGCUCGAGUGAUGGCCGCUGUUAUUGGGCCUAAAGCGUCCGUAGCCGGCCGGACAAGUCCGUUGGGAAAUCCGUUCGCUUAACGAACGGGCGUCCAGCGGAAACUGUCCGGCUUGGGGCCGGAAGAUCCGAGGGGUACGUCCGGGGUAGGAGUGAAAUCCCGUAAUCCUGGACGGACCGCCGGUGGCGAAAGCGCCUCGGAAAGACGGACCCGACGGUGAGGGACGAAAGCCAGGGUCUCGAACCGGAUUAGAUACCCGGGUAGUCCUGGCUGUAAACGAUGCCCGCUAGGUGUGGCGCAGGCUACGAGCCUGCGCUGUGCCGUAGGGAAGCCGUGAAGCGGGCCGCCUGGGAAGUACGUCUGCAAGGAUGAA